rnacentral:rRNA from 1 species
CAGUAGCCGCGGUAAUACGAAGGGGGCUAGCGUUGUUCGGAUUUACUGGGCGUAAAGCGCACGUAGGCGGACUUUUAAGUCAGGGGUGAAAUCCCGGGGAUCAACCCCGGAACUGCCUUUGAUACUGGAAGUCUUGAGUAUGGUAGAGGUGAGUGGAAUUCCGAGUGUAGAGGUGAAAUUCGUAGAUAUUCGGAGGAACACCAGUGGCGAAGGCGGCCCCCUGGACAAAGACUGACGCUCAGGUGCGAAAGCGUGGGGAGCAAACAGGAUUAGAUACCCCGGUAGUCCCUGUCUCUUAUAC